UUCAUACACAUGAUAGCAUACCUCUGUCGCAUAGAUGAUGGGUCUUCUUCUUCAACUGACGAUGGUGGGUCUUCUUCUUCAACUGACGAUGGUGGGUCUUCUUCUUCAACUAACGAUGGUGAGUCUUCUUCUUCAAUUUGUUUGGUCUGCGUGAAAGGUCUCCAAGCGUUGGAGGAAGAAGAAAGACGUUUGGUUUCCUCGCGUACGUCGUUCCCAAGCAUAAGUGGAGUUUGUGGUGGGUCAGGAG
rnacentral:lncRNA from 1 species